AGCUUCGAGAACACUGUCCAACCAUCUCGUCCUCUGUCGUCCCCUUCUCCUUGUGCCCUCCAUCUUUCCCAACAUCAGGGUCUUUUCCAGGGAAUCUUCUCAUGAGGUGGCCAAAGUAUUGGAGCCUCAGCUUCAGGAUCUGUCCUUCCAGUGAGCACUCAGGGCUGAUUUCCUUCAGAAUGGAUAGGUUUGAUCUUCUUGCAGUCCAUGGGACUCUCAAGAGUCUCCUCCAGCACCAUAAUUCAAAAGCAUCAAUUCUUCGGCGAUCAGCCUUCUUUAUGGUCCAGCUUUCACUUCCUUAGGAAGCUUUUCCUUAGGAUGUCCCUAUUUUCAUUGGAUAAAUGUUGGAGGGUAUGGAGUUAUCUGAUCCCUGAGCCAUCCAAAGGCAGCCCUGUAUGGGGAAGUUUUAUUAAUGUUUAAUGUUUUAUUAUGUUUUUAUGUAUGUUGGAAGCUGCCCAGAGUACUUGGGGCAAUCCAGUCAGAUGGGUGGGGUAUAAAUAGUAAAAUUAUUAUUAUGGAAUAGGCCGUCCCUAUUUUCAUCGGAGAAAUGUCAGAGGGUAUGGGGUUAAUCAGUUAAAAGCAAUAUUCUGGAGACUCAUGUGUUAUGACCAAAACAACAUAACCCACUGCUCACCAUUUCGCUAGUGCAACAUUAUAAAAUGGGACUAUUCCCACCACAAUUUAACUCUGAAUUAGUAUCUACUGAGAGGCGCUGCAGCAAGCUCAUGCCAUGUCAGAGGCAGAAAUCCCAAUGCAAAGUUUUAGGGCCAACUUCACAGCUACAGGAAGACCAGGCUUUGGUCAACUCAAUUAAAUUUCAAGGCUUUUUGAAGGCUCGGGAAGAAUUCAAUUGACGUCAUGCUUUGGGGGGGAUCUUUAUCAGUUUACAUCAUCAUUAACGUCAGUGGUCAUUCACCCAUUAACUGCAGCCGAACUUUAAUUGCACCCUAUUGUGGCAUUUAAGCACACUGCGAUGCCAACCCAUUGUGAAAUUGUUGUGGGCUAGUUUCAUGAUGCAUGAGAACAUCCAGUGCACAAUGAUCAUGGGACAACUACAAGAUUAGAUGUAAGACUCACAUGAUAUGUUAACAAAAUUCUUGCAUGAAAGGGCACACCUAUGAAGGUGGCAAAUCUAUAUAAUUAUAGUUGCCAUGAAUUAAAGGGAUAUUCUUACUUGGGGUGUUUUGUUUAAAGCUGAGAUACAAACAUCACUCAGCAUGCUUUGAUGUUCACUCAGAUUGAUCCUACAACACAAUCUAUAUGGUGUUCUGAUCUUGAAAACUUCUUGAAAUGUGCAUCUGGAACCAGGGCUGGUAUUCAGCUAAGUUUUACUCAGAAUAGUGUUGACCUCUUGAAAUUAAUGAACAUGACUAAGGUACAUCCAUUAACUUCAAUGGGUCUACUCUGAGUAGGGCUAAGUAUCAUCAUCAUCAUCAUUUUAUUUAUACCCCACUCAUCUGGCUGGGUUUCCCAGCCACUCUGGGCUGCUUACAGCAUAUCUAAAAACAUAAUAAAAAUAUUAAGCAUUAAAAAACUCCCAAUACAGAGCUGCCUUCAGAUGCCUCCUAAAAGUUGUGUAAUUCUUUAUCUCCUUGAGAUCUGGAGGGAGUUCCACACUGAGGGUGCCACUCUACCUGGUUCCCUAACGUCGCUUCUUGCAGUGAGGGAAUCAGCAGAAGACCCUCGGAGGAGGACCUCAGUGUCCAGGUUGAACGAUGGGGGUGGAAACGCUCCUUCAGGUACACUGGGCUGAGGCCAUUUGGGGCUUUAAAGGUCAGCACCAACACUUUGAAUUGUGCUUGGAAACAUACUGGGAGCCAGUGAAGAUUCUGUAGGACUGGCGUUAUAUGGUCCCAGCAGCCACUCCCAGUCAUCAGGAUUAGUUGUAGUUUCUGAGUCACCUUCAAAGGUAGCCUCAUGGAGAAUACCACCGUAGGAUCCUGCAUUGGGUGGGAGUGGGGUUUUACAUGAAUUUCAAAGAUUUAAAUAGUGGUGGUCAAAAUAAUUUAUUCCUUUAUGCAACUACAGCAGCCCAAAUGCUGUAUGCACAAAAAUGGAGAGAAGGAGCAGUCCCAGCGAGGGAGGAGUGGCAGUUGAAGUUGAAUGGAAUAUGCAGAAUUGGCGAGUCUAACCAGCAGAAUUAGAGAACAAGAGCAAAGAGUAUACAAGGAGGACUGGAAAAUGUUUGUAGAAUAUAUAAAGAAUCACUAUACAGUGGUACCUCGGGUUACAUACGCUUCAGGUUACAUAUGCUUCAGGUUACAGACUCUGCUAACCCAAAAAUCGUGCUUCAGGUUAAGAACUUUGCUUCAGGAUGAGAACAGAAAUUGCGUGGCAGCAGCAGGAGGCCCCAUUAGCUAAAGUAGUGCUUCAGGUUAAGAACAGUUUCAGGUUAAGUACGGACCUCCGGAACAAAUUAAGUACUUAACCCGAGGUACCACUGUAAACAGGUCAAAACGUUGGCAGGUUUAGUGGAAACUCGGCAUUGUAAGUUAUGUUGAUAUAAAAUGAGAUAGAGAAGAUACGGAUUAACUUGAAUAUGCAGUAAUAAUGGAAGCUUGGAGGAAACCACAGAAGGGGGGAAGGGAAGCUGAAGUUUAAUGCAUUGUUAUUUUCAGUGUGGAAAAUUGCAAUGAUGAAAAUUAUAAAUAAAAUCUAGAGAGAGAGAGAGAGAGAGAGAGAGAGAGAGAGAUGGUAACCCAUUUGUUCACGACACACAACAAAACCUACUAUUGCCAUUACAAUCUGAGCAUGGUAUUCCUGCAAUUUCUUAUAUGGGAUGGCAUUCCAUUUAGAUAUUAUAUUUCAUUUAGGCAUUAUAUAACAGGGAAGUGGCUUUGAGUGAACAUUCCUAGUUUUCCUGAAGUGGUUAUCUACCCUGUUUUCCAAACACUCUGUGCUUUAACAAGAAGCAAUUGUUUCCUGGAGUUUGAUGAGGGCUGAGUUGACUCCAGGACAUAUAAAAGGACCCGGAGUGGUCCUUGGAGAGGCAAAACACAAAAUCUUUCACAUAUAGUUUGACAGACACAGGUACUGAUCCAUAUCUGCACAGGGGGUUGUUUUCAGACUCUUCUUUUUACUACAGCCCCCAACACCAUGCAUAAAGAUGUCCCAAUGUUCAAGGCAAGCCUUAGGAGAAUCAGUAGUAACCAGUGGAAGGCGAAAUCAUCAACCCCAGUUAUUUUUGAAUUCCGACUUUAUCUGCGUCCUCGUUAUUCGUAAUAUUCACCUUAUUAACUCAAUGAGACAAUGUUCCGAAUUAAACCGAUGAUAUUUCAGCCCAGUCAACAUAUGAGAAAGUGCUGGUUUGGUUUCUGGAAAAGGAAGAAAAGGAGAAGGAAAACUAAAUUCCUGACAUUCUGUCCCCAAUUGUGCCCAGGAGCAAAACAAGGCUUUAUUCACCUGGGUCAAAGACCCAUUUUGGUUAAAAAAAAAAACAAAACAAAACACCAUGCCCAUUUGCGUACAUACACACAUAGGCUGGGAGCCUCAAUGGCGCCCCUCUGAAGGCUUCAUAUGGGGCCCAAAAAACUGACUCGCUUCCCCCACCCCCCGUGGCUACUGCUCUGAUUGUACUUACAGAUAUUUGAGGCAGAGGGUUGGAAGGGACCCUGAGGGUCAUCUAGUCCAACCCACCACAAUGCAGAAAUCUCCUCAUCCAAUUGGAUGGUUAUCCAUCCAAUCAGAAACGUCCAUAUUGGACUGAUCCGAUGGCUGUUUCUUCAUGAUGUGCAGAAAUGCCAGCGCAGGAGUGAACAUUCCACAGUACUAGCAAUUAACAGGCUUUGACAACAGAACAUCCUAAAUAUUCCUAAAGCCAAUACAUCAAACAUUUCCUACCAAUAUAUUCCCUCUCUCAUUCUCUCCCAGCCAUCUCCCUCUCUCAUUGAUAAAAAUUGAGUUGAUUAAAGAACUAUUUUCGAGUUCAUUUAACUUUGUCUCCCACCAGAAAUCCCCAGAGACAACUUUUCUUUCGGGCAUAAAGUUUGCUGUAAAGCUGGAACGAAAAGGAAAUCCUGCUUGGGCUAUACAUGAGUACAAUAUCUGAAAUGUUAACACAUUUAUUAUCUGUUGUCACUUCCCUAUGAAUGCGUCUUUGUGAAUACAUGUUAAGACCUAUAGCCCCCUCAUUAAUCACUGCUCUGUGAAGAAAAAGAAAAUUGCUGGUUAAUUAUUUCUUUUGAAACAUUUCAUUUUUUUUUUUAAAAAAAAAACAUCCUACCCCAUUGGAUCAAUUGUGAAAUACCGCAAGUAUUUGCACUGAGCUUCUUAAAGAAAAGAGAUGCAGAAUGUACAUUUGCUAUCAAAUUUUAAGAGCUAGUAUAUAGAAACAUCUUUUGUACUGAUUGUAAGAUUUCCCCCAUAUCAACUUCCCAGGGUACUUCCCAGGGUUUAACAGAGCAAUCCAAACUACAGUGGUACCUCGGGUUAAGUACUUAAUUCGUUCCAGAGGUCUGUUCUUAACCUGAAACUGUUCUUAACCUGAAGCACCACUUUAGCUAAUGGGGCCUCCUGCUGCUGCUGCGCUGCCGGAGCACGAUUUCUGUUCUCAUCCUGAAGCAAAGUUCUUAACCUGAAGCACUAUUUCUGGGUUAGCAGAGUCUGUAACCUGAAGCGUAUGUAACCUGAAGCGUCUGUAACCCGAGGUACCACUGUAUAGGAAGCCAGUGUUGGUUACACGAGAGUAAAUUAUGCCCCUGGAAUUAAACCCAGUUUCAAACUCUGUUCAUCAGUGGGGCUACUGCUGAGCCUGGCAGAGGGAAAACGAACUUUUAAAAUAGAGUUUCUAGGUCACAUGACCAAGCUGAAAGGACUGUGGUAAGUUCUCCAUUGCCCCAUCCCUAUCCCAGGGGAUACACACUUGUUUUGAGACUUGCCCUGACCUUGGCUCAGGUUUCUAAGCCCCAGUUGACCUGGCUGAGCCCCACCUGAGGCAAGAUGGAGGACUUAUACCGGCAUAUCCCCAGGAUAGCUCAGUCGGUGGAGCAUGAGACUCUUAAUAUCAGGGUUGUGGGUUUGAGCCCCACGUUGGGCAAAGGAUUCCCACAUUGCAAGGGGUUAGACAAGAUCAUAGCUGUCAACUUUCCCCUUUUUUAAAGGGAUAUUCCCUUAUUCCGAAUAGGAUUCCUCGCAAGAAAAGGGAAAGGUUGACAGCUAUGGACUAGAUGAGCCUUGUGCUUCCUUCCAACUCUCUCUCUCUCUCUCUCUCUCUCUCUCUCUAUAUAUAUAUAUAUAAUUUUUAUUGAUUUUAACAUAUAAAUUAUAAAGUGUACCACAGAACUUAUCACUUAUACAAUCUUUUUGGACUUCCAUCAGCACCUCUGAUGAUCCACCGUUUUAACCACUUUUUAUGCAUUUGCGUGUGUAGGUCCCCAGGCCACCCCUCAAAUAACUUCACACAUAACACGUAAUUUUAGUUUUGGUUUUUGGGCACUAUUUUGGCCACAACUUUAUUAAAAUACAAAAUCAGUGAGUGGUUGUUUAGACAUUGGUUAUGACUAUCUGUCCCCCCGCCUGGGACAGAACUGACAUCCCGAGGUCCGAUCGGUAGCCAGUAGAAGGGAAAGUCAAACUUGGGGUCAUUUGAGCUAAGCGUCGGACCCACGCCGCUCACCCCAGCAGCUCCCCGAAAGCUUGCCGGCCCUGGUCCCAUGACAGGGAUUGGGUGGCCCUGGUCCCAUGACAGGGAUUGGACGAAAUCGUGGCAAGCCCCAGGAUUCCUUUAACGGAAUUCCCUUCAGCGCAAUUGGAGGGGCAGGCACAGCCUAUCCUGACCCCUCCACCACCAGCAUAUUAUAACCAAUGCCUAACCGCAACCUUACAAGUUGUGACGAAUUGCUGAGUAGUAGGCAAAAACCAAAUGGCCCAGCCAAUCACCAAAUGGCAAAAUUCCUACUAGGCCCCUACGCCAAGGCAGACGACCCCAUGACAGGCAAAGCAAGGUCAACCGGAAAAGAGGGCGGGCGGGCGGGUAAUCCGAUGCACUCUGCAAAGAGAAAGAGAAACCAGAGUGCACCAAUAUUUAAAGACUAUGGUCCCACCCACCCAAUUUGCAGCAUACAAUUUGCCCCAGCAACCCGGUUACCCAAUCAUAGUGCCAGGCAACAACUAUUAACCUGCCUGGCAACAAGAGGCCUGGCCUGGUGGCCCACAUCGCAACACGUGCUCUCAUUUAUUGGAGAACACACUUUCUAAACUUUAUAUUGCCUUUACAUCUCUUAACAAAUCAUCCUUCCCCUUACCCAUUUUUGCAAUAAUUCCAAUAAUACUCCUCACAAAACUUCUUGCAAACCUACAAACUUCAUCUGAUCUUCACAAAUACUUUUCAGAUAGUCCGUAAAUUUACUCCAGUCUUCCGUGAAUUUCUGGUCCCACCAGUUUCGAAUCCUUCCUGUUAGUUUAUCUAGUUCUGCAUAGUCCAUUAGCUUCAUCCUCCAUUCUUCAAUCGUCGGUAAUUCUUCUUGCUUCCAUUUUUGGGCCACUAAUAUUCUUGCUGCUGUUAUUGCAUACAAAAAGAGCUUACAUUCCUUUCUAUUUAUAUCACUCCCAACAAUGCCCAGUAAAAAUGCUUCUGGUUUCUUUAUAAAUGUAUACUUAAACAUUUAUUUCAUCUUAUUAUAUAUCAUCUCCCAGAAGCUUUCCUUCCAACUCUCCAAGGUCUGUCUCUGAACCUUGACUGGAUGUAAGUAAGACAGCGGGCAAGUAGGACAAAGGGCAGGCAGAGGUUGGUGGCACAGCUACACGAACACCCUACUUUCCAACCAACGAUGGUCAAAUAGCUCAGAGUAAGCUGCUGAUAACGCCAAGGUUGCAGGUUCGAUCCCCGUAUGGGACAACUGCAUAUUCUUGCAUUGCAGGGGGCUGGACUAGAUUAUCCUUAGUGGCCCUCUAUAUUUCUAAGAAUUCUAUUAAUUCCCUUCUAGUGUCUGUAGGGGACGUGGGUGGCACUGUGGGUUAAACCACAAAGCCUAGGACUUGCCAAUCAGAAGGUCGGCGGUUCGAAUCCCCGUGACAGGGUGAGCUCCCGGUGCUCGGUCCCUGCUCCUGCCAACCUAGCAGUUCGAAAGCACAUCAAAGUGCAAGUAGAUAAAUAGGUACUGCUCCGGCGGGAAGGGAAACGGCGUUUCCGUGCGCUGCUCUGGUUCGCCAGAAGCGGCUUAGUCAUGCUGACCACAUGACCCGGAAGCUGUACGCCAGCUCCCUCAGCCAAUAAAGCGAGAUGAGCACCGCAACCCCAGAGUCGGUCACAACUGGACCUAAUGGUCAGGGGUCCCUUUACCUUUAGUGUUUGUAGGCCAUCCAUGACAGUAAAAAAAAAAAAAAAAAUCAGGCCCACCUUGCAAUUCUAUAUACACUACGCAGUCUUCUGUGGAUGACAUUCCCCAUUAAAGUGAUGUUACUAAUUUAUCUAUCAACCCAUCGGAUGGUUCAUUCAUUUAUUUAUAUAUUUAUGCCAGGUGAAGCUUCUCAAGGUGCCCUCAUGUGGUAAGUUCUGGUAUUUAUAGCUUCAGGGAGAUCGAGGAAAAGCUCUACUUCUUUCCAAUGUAGUGAAUAUCAGUGGAAAUACUCUAGAAUAGGUGAUCAUGUAGUUUAUUCCAACCACUGGAUUAUACUUAAAUGCUGGCCUGCGCGUAUCAGAUUUCAAAGAACAAUUUCCCUGUAAACCAAAAGUCUGGCAGAUAGAUAAAUAUGUGUACAGACAGCUAUCCCAAAACAUUUUUUACCCAUUGAAAUAAUGUUGAUGAGGCAAUACUCUUGAUGGGAGAAAAGUCUUUAUUUCAAAUCUUUAUUUUAACUUGCUCUGGAGAAAAGGGAAAAAAUAAAAGUAGCAAUAACCUGUUCAUGGGAUGAUUGCAUUGAAUUAAUAUUUCUGAGUGCUUUUCUUUCCCUAUAAUUAAUUUGUAAAGAGUGCUGUGAAUCAUACCUCUGUGAGGGGUAAAUUAUGGUUCCCAUGAUUCCUUGGGGGAAGUCAUAUGAUUUAAGUCAUAUGAUCCAACAAGGAGCUUAUCCAAUGCUUUUGAAGAACAAAUGUAGGGCUGCCAUAUGUCCUCUUUUUCCAGGACACGUCCUCUUUUCCAUGGGUAGAGUCGUCAUAGCGAUCCACAGCUAAAAGUUGUUGUUUAGUCGUGUCCGACUCUUUGUGACCCCAUGGACCAGAGCACGCCAGGCACUCCUGUCUUCCACUGCCUCCCGCAGUUUGGUCAAACUCAUGCUGGUAGCUUCGAGAACACUGUCCAACCAUCUCAUCCUCUGUCGUCCCCUUCUCCUUUUGCCCUCAAUCUUUCCCAACAUCAGGGUCUUUUCCAGGGAGUCUUCCCUUCUCAUGAGGUGGCCAAGUUACUGGAGCCUCAGCUUCACAAUCUGUCCUUCCAAUGAGCACUCAGGGCUGAUUUCCUUCAGAAUGGAUCAGUUUGAUCUUCUUGCAGUCCAUGGGACUCUCAAGAGUCCCCUCCAGCACCAUAAUUCAAAAGCAUCAAUUCUUCGGCGAUCAGCCUUCUUUAUGGUCC
rnacentral:lncRNA from 1 species